rnacentral:lncRNA from 1 species
CAAGUACAUAUGUCUUCCUUGAUUGGGCUUCCCAGUUGGUACUAGUGAGAUUGUAAGCCAAAGGUUACUCACCAUUCUGUGAUUUUUUAGUUCAUAACAUCUGAAAACAGUAACUACUUGGCUGAAAUACAUCUAAGAAUUAAUUUCAUUUCUUUCUCUUUUUUUGUAAUAUCAGGUUUUAAAUGAGAUGUUAAACUAUUUUAAGGAAAAAAUAUGUUUGAGGUGGGAUAAAAAGACUGUUAAACAUUAUUUCUUUAAAAAAAUUAUUUUUACAUGAAAACUAGAUAUAUUUGUGAUGUGUUCAAUCAAAAAAUUCACUACUGUAUCCCAGAUCUACAUAUUUGAAAGUAAAAAUGUUCACUUGUCAGCUGAAAUUUCUGAUUAGAACUAAUAUU